rnacentral:rRNA from 1 species
AUUGAACGCUGGCGGCAGGCCUAACACAUGCAAGUCGAACGGUAACAGGAAGAAGCUUGCUUCUUUGCUGACGAGUGGCGGACGGGUGAGUAAUGUCUGGGAAACUGCCUGAUGGAGGGGGAUAACUACUGGAAACGGUAGCUAAUACCGCAUAACGUCGCAAGACCAAAGAGGGGGACCUUCGGGCCUGUUGCCAUCGGAUGUGCCCAGAUGGGAUUAGCUAGUAGGUGGGGUAACGGCUCACCUAGGCGACGAUCCCUAGCUGGUCUGAGAGGAUGACCAGCCACACUGGAACUGGGACACGGUCCAGACUCCUACGGGAGGCAGCAGUGGGGAAUAUUGCACAAUGGGCGCAAGCCUGAUGCAGCCAUGCCGCGUGUAUGAAGAAGGCCUUCGGGUUGUAAAGUACUUUCAGCGGGGAGGAAGGGAGUAAAGUUAAUACCUUUGCUCAUUGACGUUACCCGCAGAAGAAGCACCGGCUAACUCCGUG